GAUGAACGCUGGCGGCGUGCCUAAUACAUGCAAGUCGAGCGAACUGAUUAGAAGCUUGCUUCUAUGACGUUAGCGGCGGACGGGUGAGUAACACGUGGGCAACCUGCCUGUAAGACUGGGAUAACUUCGGGAAACCGAAGCUAAUACCGGAUAGGAUCUUCUCCUUCAUGGGAGAUGAUUGAAAGAUGGUUUCGGUUAUCACUUACAGAUGGGCCCGCGGUGCAUUAGCUAGUUGGUGAGGUAACGGCUCACCAAGGCAACGAUGCAUAGCCGACCUGAGAGGGUGAUCGGCCACACUGGGACUGAGACACGGCCCAGACUCCUACGGGAGGCAGCAGUAGGGAAUCUUCCGCAAUGGACGAAAGUCUGACGGAGCAACGCCGCGUGAGUGAUGAAGGCUUUCGGGUCGUAAAACUCUGUUGUUAGGGAAGAACAAGUACGAGAGUAACUGCUCGUACCUUGACGGUACCUAACCAGAAAGCCACGGCUAACUACGUGCCAGCAGCCGCAGUAACAC
rnacentral:rRNA from 1 species